rnacentral:rRNA from 1 species
AUGAACGCUGGCGGCGUGCCUAAUACAUGCAAGUCGAGCGAACGGACGAGAAGCUUGCUUCUCUGAUGUUAGCGGCGGACGGGUGAGUAACACGUGGAUAACCUACCUAUAAGACUGGGAUAACUUCGGGAAACCGGAGCUAAUACCGGAUAAUAUUUUGAACCGCAUGGUUCAAAAGUGAAAGACGGUCUUGCUGUCACUUAUAGAUGGAUCCGCGCUGCAUUAGCUAGUUGGUAAGGUAACGGCUUACAAGGCAACGAUGCAUAGCCGACCUGAGAGGGUGAUCGGCCACACUGGAACUGAGACACGGUCCAGACUCCUACGGGAGGCAGCAGUAGGGAAUCUUCCGCAAUGGGCGAAAGCCUGACGGAGCAACGCCGCGUGAGUGAUGAAGGUCUUCGGAUCGUAAAACUCUGUUAUUAGGGAAGAACAUAUGUGUAAGUAACUGUGCACAUCUUGACGGUACCUAAUCAGAAAGCCACGGCUAACUACGUG